rnacentral:rRNA from 1 species
AGUGAACGCUGGCGGCGUGCUUAACACAUGCAAGUCGAACGAGAACGGGUUAUAGCUUGCUAUAAUUGUCAGCUAAGUGGUGCACGGGUGAGUAAUGUAUAGGUAAUAUGCCUCUUACUAAGGGAUAACAAAUGGAAACGUUUGCUAAUACCUUAUACUCCUUAUUAACAUAAGUUAAUAAGGGAAAGAUUUAUUGGUAAGAGAUUAGCCUGUAUUGUAUCAGUUAGUUGGUGGGGUAAUGGCUUACCAAGACUAUGACACAUAACUGGUUUGAGAGGAUGAUCAGUCACACUGGAACUGAGACACGGUCCAGACUCCUACGGGAGGCAGCAGUGGGGAAUAUUGCACAAUGGACGAAAGUCUGAUGCAGCAACGCCGCGUGGAGGAUGACACAUUUCGGUGCGUAAACUCCUUUUAUAUGAGAAGAUAAUGACGGUAUUAUAUGAAUAAGCACCGGCUAACUCCUUGCCAGCCGCCGCCGUAA